UACGGAGGGUGCUAGCGUUGUUCGGAAUUACUGGGCGUAAAGGGCGCGUAGGCGGCCGUUUGCGUCGGAUGUGAAAGCCCGGGGCUCAACCUCGGAACGGCAUUCGAUACGGGACGGCUGGAGACCGGGAGAGGAGAGUGGAAUAGCCAGUGUAGAGGUGAAAUUCGUAGAUAUUGGCUGGAACACCGGUGGCGAAAGCGGCUCUCUGGCCCGGUUCUGACGCUGAGGCGCGAAAGCUAGGGGAGCAAACGGG
rnacentral:rRNA from 1 species